rnacentral:rRNA from 1 species
AUGUUGAGAGCAUGUGUAAUGAACUUUGGAGAAACAUGGGAUAAGCAUCUGCACCUAGCAGAAUUUGCUUACAAUAAUAGUUAUCAAUCCAGCAUACAAAUGGCUCCAUAUGAGGCAUUGUAUGGGAGGAAAUGCAGAUCACCUAUAUGCUGGUAUGAAGUUGGAGAGAGACCAUUACUUGGUCCUGACAUAGUGAGAGAGAAUGAUGAGAAGAUCCAACUAAUCAAAGAACGACUCCAGAUUGCACAAAAUAGGCAGAAGAACUAUGCUGACCGGAAUAGGAGGGUUAUGCAAUUGGCAGUAGGAGACUUGGUUUAUCUAAAAGUAUCACCUAUGAGAGGGGUUCGACGCUUUGGAAUCAAAGGAAAGUUGAGUCCUAGAUAUGUUGGGCCAUUUAAAAUUUUGGAGGAGAAGGGAACAUCUGCUUAUAAGUUGGAGUUACCAGAACAUUUAUCAAGAAUUCACAAUGUCUUCCACAUAUCUCAACUUAAGAAAUGCAACAAGCCACCACCACAAGUAUCAGACUUGGAGAUUGAAUUACAACCAGACCUGACGUAUGAAGAACGACCAUUGAAGAUCUUAGAAGUUGAAGACCGCAAGCUCAGGACAAGGACCAUUCGGUUCUGCAAAGUGCAAUGGAAGAACCACUCAGUUCGUGAGGCGACUUGGGAGAAGGAGGAAGACCUACGAGUAACCUACCCCAACCUUUUUAAGUAA